UGCCUAUUCAAUACAAUCAAAUGAUAGACUUACUCCACAUCUAAAUCAUGAGUCUACAGACAGGUUCAAUGAUAGAAUUAUGACUUCUACUUUUAAUAUAUACAUUACUUCAAGACAAUGUCUGAGUGAGAAAAUAACAUCACAUACACUAGACGACAAUGUUGUGGAUAUGAUGAAAGAGUGAACAACCGUAACGCUAUCCUUCCUUAUGGUUCAUCAUAAAGCAAUAUUCAUUCUCAACAGGCAUUGUGUCCAUCGGAUCCAAACAUCUGUGUUUCUCACAAGCAAGAGGAACUUGGUACACUGGGUUAUUGUGAAAGCAUUAUCUGGUCAUGCGGUGGUGCAGAAGAAUGAACAAUAAA